CAGGUUCAGGUUCAAUUUCAAUUUCAUUUUCAUUUUCAUGAUGUAUAGGGUCAUUUUCGUCAUUCCCAGGUAUAGGUGAAUUUAGCCUAGUCAGCUUCACCUCAGUCUGAAUACUCUUCUCAGUUUUAGAUUUGUUAGUUUCUUCGAUUUUCUGUUUUAGACAUGGCAUCUCAGAUUCAUUAAAGACUACAAUCCUGCUGUUAAUAAUCUUAAUG
rnacentral:lncRNA from 1 species